AUGGAGGUGAUCCGGGUCCGACGGCGGCGGCGGGGGGCGGCGGGCGGCGGCCCUCCAGCGGGCGGCCUGGAGGAGCACGGCGUUGGCGCAGAUGGCGACGCCGAAGCCGGCGAAGGCGGAGAGGAUGAUGGCGAUGACGGCCUGGAGCCUGACGUAGCGGUAGAAGAGGUGGGUGAAGAGGACGACCAGCAGGAACUGCAGCGCCGAGUAUGCCCACACGUACCUUCUCGACGAGGCCAUCCCGGCGGUGGUGAGCGCCGAGAAGGUGCCGAGCACGACGGCGAAGGGCGCCGAGACGGCGAGGGCGGCGGCCGCGUUGCCGUGGUCGCCCACCAGCAGCUGCUCCAGGAAGCAGAAGUAGGCCAGCAUGCUCACCGUCACCAGGAUCACCGUGCCAUGCCGCCACACGCCCCUCAACCCUCUUCUCUCUCUUGCUUCUUGUUCUUCCUCUUGGCUGGUGCUGCCAUUGCCAUUGCCGGCGGUGAGGGGAGGAGGUGGUGGUGGGGGAGGGGCGGCGACGCGGCGGAGGGUGACGGGGAGGUUGAGGACGUCGUGGCCGCAGACGUCGCAGUUGGGGUCGCCCUUGAUGCCGAACCACUUGAGGGCGCAGCGGCGGUGAGCCAGCGCCAGCUCGCCCUUGCACCGGCACUCCAGCUUCAGCACGCCGUCGCCUGCUCCUUCUUCUUCCUCCUCCAGAAGCGCCACCAUGCAGAUCCGGCACACCGCCUCCUCCUCCCCCACCUCCUCUUCCUCUCCUUCUUCCGACGGCGAUGGCGAAGAGGGUGGCGGCGCCGACUCCGGCAAUGGCAAUUGCACCGACGACACCCGGAACCGGCGCAAGGAGCUCGAGUCCGCCACCCGCUUCUUGCCGCCAUGAGCGGGGAGCCUCCUGGAGAUGCUCGUCAUCGGCAUCGACUGCGUCCGGCACACCGGUGGCUUCGGAUGUUGCCGCUUGGACUGCGAUGGCCAUUGCCGUUGCUCCUUCGUCAUCAUCAAGAACAAAACCACAAUGAUCAGCUCAGUUAUCAUUCAAGCAUGGCAUAUCUUUAUAUCAACUGA
rnacentral:rRNA from 1 species